rnacentral:rRNA from 1 species
UACGGGGGGGGCAAGCGUUGUUCGGAAUUACUGGGCGUAAAGGGCUCGUAGGUGGCCAACUAAGUCAGACGUGAAAUCCCUCAGCUUAACUGGGGAACUGCGUCUGAUACUGGAUGGCUUGAGUUUGGGAGAGGGUAGCGGAAUUCCCGGUGUAGUGGUGAAAUGCGUAGAUAUCGGGAGGAACACCAGUGGCGAAAGCGGCUACCUGGCCCAUUCUUGACGCUGAGGCGGCGAAA